AAAAUGGACAGUCAGUUUUAUAAUAUCUCACCUUAAUGCUCUAAACAACUUACUAUAGAUUCUGAGUAAGAAACAGUCCUCUUGUUUGUCCUUUUGGUUCUUUUUUAGAGAUUGAACAGAGUGUAUUUCUGAUUGCUUUAUUUUCUAGUUCUUUUAAACCAAAUUUUAUUAAUAGCUAUUUAAAAGAUUUUAUUAACUUUUUCAGGAAGUUGGUGUUAUUUUUGACAAAGCCGAAAAAGCAUGCAAAAUAAAAUUAAAAGCUGUUAUUUGUAAUGCACCUGCUCGAUUGUAUGUCUAAUGUAUUAAAACACAUAAAGGAUACAGUUGUAGUGAAUAGUUUUACCUGAUUUACUUGCUACACUAAGAACGGAUAUAGACUUUCUCAAUCACUUUUAUUCAAAACACCAUAAUACAAUAUCUCUUUUUGCUAUGCUAAAUUAUAACAUGUAAACCAAGAUUGAUUUUGUAUCAUCGGGGGAUGAUCAUUCAGAGAGUAGCAACAGUGGAUUGUAUAUUCCCGCGGUACACUCAGAAUUAUCAGACUUUUAAAAGAUAAAGUUUGGCUCAGACAAGUUAACACAUUUUUUAAUUUUCAAUCAGAAAAUUUUUGGAUCAAAAGACCGGGUAUGGUCUUGUGACAAAGUAAUUCCUUUGAUAAAAGCAUUUGGUUAUACUACGUCAGGGUAGAAACUACCAAGUUUAAAAAUUGACCCAACUUCAAAAAAGACCCAUUUGGGCUGCCGUCAACAGAAGUCCCCUAGCACUGAGGGGCCAUAUGCCUUGCUUAUUCUUGCUAUACAGUUGCUCACUACUGACAAUUUGUUUAUGAUAUUUUGGGAUCAAUAAAAAACUAUACUUUAUUAAAUUUUU